rnacentral:misc_RNA from 1 species
UCUGUGGUUGAUCAGUGUUUAUAUCCACCUUGAUGCUGACUUGGAUCCUGCUGGCGUUAGUGUAAAUAAACAACAUUUCUCAACAACUACAAUGGAUAUCUACAAGUCAGAUUCUGACCUGUCAACCAUGCCCCGACUUCGGCUUCCUGUAGACCUGGCAACAGCAAAGGAAGUCAUGAAAAAGUUUCCUGAUAUGGCUUAUUCACUGAAUCACAGUGGAAUAUUUCAAAAUGCCGUACGGAUGUUAUAUGGAGAGGAAUUCACCAUAAAAACUGACCUCUCCAGUCGAAUGCUCUUCAGCUGCAUGAUAUGUAAUCGUGAAAUGAACUCUGAGAAUGCCAUGGCAGAGCACUUCAGAUCAGGGGCUCAUCAAAAAAAUCGGGACAAGAAGUGUCGCGAAAGUGGAGAGGUAAACUUGAAAGCCUUAGCUUCAAAUUAUCCUACAGAUUCUCUACAUUAUAAACUACUGAACUCGAAAGUUCAACCCUUAGGUCUACAAUUGGUUGAAGAAUAUGUUCGUGGACGUGGGUCUCCAUACUAUAAAUGUAACCUGUGUGGAGCACAUGGCAAGCUGGACACUAUGUACCACCAUUUAAUUGGCAGGAAGCAUACAGAAAAGUAUAUUAAAUCCAGUUGUGUUUUGAGGAAUUCAAUCUUAACUCCUAAUGAACGUGAAGAACUUCGUCGUCAGGUGAUCGCAGCUGAAGGAAUUAAUACACGAGGUUUGAAAACUAUUAGAGGAAGUGAUUAUUUUCCCUAUAAAUGGAAAGAAGAAGGCCGUGCUGUAGCAAAACACCUAACAGAUGUUAAAAUUGAGACGAGAUCCCCGUCGAGCUCCCCAUCACCAGGGCCUUCAGGAAGUAGGACUCCUAUUGGCCGUGGUUACCUUAAGCGAUCACCAAAACGUUCGCCAGGGGAAUCUCCAGUAAGCUCUCCAGAGAGGUAUAGCUCAAAGCCUUCCAAAGGGUGUCGAAAAAUUUCUCCAGUAAGAAGAUCACUGUCGAGAGAAAAGUCUCCACUUUCUCUGUAUCGUAACAAAUCUCCACCACUACCUACCUUGGAUGCUGCAAGAAUUGAGCUAAAUCCUGUCCAACUGCCACCAUUGCCUCCACUACCACCGCCGCCUCCCCCACGCAUAGUGGAUACUAAAGAUCAGGAAGUACAGAAACAUGAUCUAGAAGAACUGAUGGUACAGCUCAACUUCAUUGUAAAAACUCAUGCUAUGCCAGAUAGUGAUCUUCAGAAUCCUGAUGAUGAAAAAAUGGCCCUCGAUCUAAUGUUUAAAAUUUCUGAUGCUCUGUAUUCUGUUCCCAACACACUAUUAGAAGAACCUGGAAUAACACAGAUGAUGACCGAGACAGCGACAGCACAGCGUGAGUUUCUAAAGAAGAUCAUGGGAUAUCUCAAGCACAGACUGGAACCAAGUUGGUUUGUAGAAAACAGAAGAAGAAUGUGAACUUAGCAUUUAUUUUCAAGUUGUGUUUCGAAACAUUUUAUUUUUAGUUGCAGUAUAUUCUCAUUGCGCAUUGGUCUCCCCACACAAGGCGCCUGCCACACAGGUGAGUGGGCGGCACGAUGGUGGUAAAGAUUAUAGUGUACCGGCACACUACAUACAAGAGUAAAGUGUGCUAAGAAUGAGCUGGUGAUAAAGAAAUUGGUGCAACAAGAGUCAAUGCACGGGAUAUAAUUCUAGAUUAUUUUAAAAUUAGAUUGCUAUAAGGGAUUCAUAUUAGAAUCCAUUUACAAGUUCUAUAAAGGUACUGUUAUCUUCCUUGACUCAUUUUGAACUCUGGCCCCCUAGAUGUGUGGUUGAAAUACUGUACUGUAUUUUAGCUGAAUUGCAGAUUUUGCUAUUUAAAUAGUUUUCAGUGCACAGUGGAUAAAUAUAAACUGACCUACUGGAGAAAAAUAAGUCUUCCAGGUGGGCAUUGUUAGUUGAAAGGGACUGACUUCACAAAUCAAAAGUCGGUCGCUUAAAACCAAUGGUACCCACCGAGUUAGUCUCGCUAAGUUGUGAAUAGUUAAAGGGGCCGUUUCCAUUUUCACUUUGUACAUGAAAGACUGAUACAGAUAACAUAGAAAAAUAAGGAUUAGGUUUUCCUUCAGUAAUACUUUUAAAGUGCAUUUUGUAAUUUUCAUACUACAGUAAUUAAUAUUAGUAAUGUAAUGUAUCAUAAAUGUUUAGCUACUUCACUCAAAGGGGAAAAAAAAAGUAUUAGCAAUAGAAGCAUAUAUUUACAGAGCAAAAAAUAAUUACUGUAUAUGCUGGCAUACAAGUCAACAUUUGAAGCCUAAAAAUCUUUCCAAAACCAGGGGGUCAACUUGCCUGCCGAACAUAAAAUGUGAACCUUAACCACCGAGAGAUAAACAAGUGGCCUAACACUUGUUGUGCACCACUUGUCAUACCUCUCACACCACUUUGUAUUGCCUACUGAAACUCAUGUUUGGUAAGUCUAUUUAAUGUAUUUACCAUAUAAUAUCACAAUGGUUAGCAUAUAUUAUAGUAGAAAACAUAGCCCUGCAAACUCUCCAUUUACAACAGCUGAUCGGUGUACCAGUGAGGGAGAGGGAAGUAGUCAUACCAGUUUGUGAAAUAUUUCACACGUUUUAUGUACCAUCUUUUUCAAGAGAAAUAUUUUUUGUCACAAAAUUGUAAAACAGACUUGUAACAUCUAUAUGAUUUAAAUAAAUGAAUGUCUUAAGGGUGCCAAACCA